rnacentral:rRNA from 1 species
GGGGCGAAGCCUGACGCAGCACGCCGCGUGGAGGACGAAGGCUUUCUGAGUUGUAAACUCCUUUCAGCAGGGACGAUUGUGACGGUACCCACAGAAGAAGCCCCGGCUAACUACGUGCCAGCAGCCGCGGUGAUACGUAGGGGGCGAGCGUUGUCCGGAUUUACUGGGCGUAAAGAGCUCGUAGGCGGCUUGAUAAGUCGGGUGUGAAACCCCCAGGCUCAACCUGGGAUCGCCACUCGAUACUGUCAUGGCUAGAGUCCGGUAAGGGACCAUGGAAUUCCUGGUGUAGCGGUGAAAUGCGCAGAUAUCAGGAGGAACACCAGUAGCGAAGGCGGUGGUCUGGGCCGGUACUGACGCUGAGGAGCGAAAGCGUGGGGAGCGAACAGGAUUAGAUACCCUGGUAGUCCACGCUGUAAACGUUGGGCACUAGGUGUGGGGAGCUAUCGACGCUCUCCGUGCCGCAGCUAACGCAUUAAGUGCCCCGCCUGGGGAGUACGGCCGCAAGGCUAAAACUCAAAGGAAUUGACGGGG